GACGAACCGAGCGAGCGUUGUUCGGAAUCACUGGGCUUAAAGGGCGCGUAGGCGGGCUGCCGCGUCCGGGGUGAAAUGCCACGGCUCAACCGUGGAAGGGCCUCGGAUACGGGCUGUCUCGAGGGGGGUAGGGGCAUCGGGAACUGUGAGUGUAGCGGUGAAAUGCGUUGAUAUUCACAGGAACUCCGGUGGCGAAGGCGCGGUGCUGGACCCCAUCUGACGCUGAGGCGCGAAAGCCAGGGGAGCAAACGGG
rnacentral:rRNA from 1 species